rnacentral:rRNA from 1 species
GUAGGUGGCAAGCGUUGUCCGGAAUUAUUGGGCGUAAAGCGCGCGCAGGCGGUUCUUUAAGUCUGAUGUGAAAGCCCACGGCUCAACCGUGGAGGGUCAUUGGAAACUGGAGAACUUGAGUACAGAAGAGGAAAGCGGAAUUCCACGUGUAGCGGUGAAAUGCGUAGAGAUGUGGAGGAACACCAGUGGCGAAGGCGGCUUUCUGGUCUGUAACUGACGCUGAGGCGCGAAAGCGUGGGGGAGCAAACAGGAUUAGAUACCCUGGUAGUCCACGCCGUAAACGAUGAGUGCUAAGUGUAGGGGGUUUCGCCCCUUAGUGCUGCAGCUAACGCAUUAAGCACUCCGCCCUGGGAGUACGGCCGCAAGGCUG